CGAUGCCCCUCCUCUCGAUCCCGAUGCAACCUCUCUCUUUCCCUCCUCUCCCGUGCCGCCGCCGCCCCCAUCUCCUGCUCCGCCGCCGCCCCCAUCUCCCGACCUCUUCUUCGGGCGCGGCCGCAGGAGCAUCUCCACCUCUUCACUCCCUCACGCAACAGCACUCCAAACCCCCACCCCCACGCCUGGCUACCGCUAGGGUUUCUUACCCUCGCUGCCCCGCCGCGACUCAUGUUACGGGCAGUGAGGAUGGGAGCGGGUCGGUCGUGUCGCUUAGUGGGUGGACGGUUGGGGCAGUGGCUCCACCGCGCUGGGCGGAGGAGAAGGAUCGAGCCGUGAUGGUCUGAGCUUGGAGGGUAGCGUUGUGCCAGAUCGAGGUAGCAGUAGCCAGAUCCGUGUAGAUCAAGGUUCACCGUCGUCUGAUCCAUGAAAUUGGAGAUUGCCAUUGCACGGUUCGUUGAUGGCCAACAUGCGGAGCCACGCAGUCUGGCCCACCACCUCAGGCGGUCAGGCCGACGUGGUGCCUCCCGGGCGAGGCCGCGACGACCUCUUCCUCUUCGCGCUGUCUCUGUCCUCCUGCUCAAGCCUUCGCCGUCGCCUCCCAUCCUUCGUGGCCUUUCUGUGUGGGCGCACUGCUGGAGGACAACGUUGAACAUGAAGCGGAGCCCAGCCGGAGCAGUCUGACGCGGUGGUCGUGGCCAAGGAGCGGUGGUUGACACCGUUGAGCAGGGGCCCUCGGUCGCCUGCGCAUGGGCCGCGUUCUGAACUAAUGCUUUCUGCAACUGCAAUGUUCCCCUCCACAGCCAGAAGGAAACAUCCGUACAGGCAGAAGGAAUGCAGUUCAGUGACGGCGUGGGCUACAACUGGAUUAGUGGCCUGAAGGCUUAAUGAGAAGAUGAAGAAUGUUGUACAAUAGUGUCCAUCAACAAAGAGUCCUACUACUACCGGUUUGAGAGGCUCUACCCUCAGGAUUCGGCAAGGAAGACCUGCAGUGGAGUCCAAGCAUCGCAUGCAGCACACCGGCGGCCUGAGAGGGCAGCAGCUGCUUUCUUUUCUAUGAGAAGAUGAUCGAGGGGGCCGGCGGCCGUUUUGUCGUCAUCCUCAAUGUGUCCAAGCUCGUCCCGCAUCGGUUGCAAUAUUUCUGACUCAUCGAACGGAUGGUCCACUUUAAAAGAAGCACAAGCAUCAUGUGGCAUUGUAGUCAUUGGUGAAGAUUGAUAUGCACUCAAAUGCAAGACUUAUGAUGGUGUUUGGUGACCGAUAAAGAUGAUUGGAAAGCCUCUUUCCAAGCAUAAGGUUAUCUGAUUCAAAUUACAUCCUCUGCUUGUGUUUUAUGAGUUGAUUUCUACCAUCUACUGUAACGGCUGUGCAAUAACCUUUUCGAAUUUGUGAGGGUGGAAGCCAAAGGAAGAACAACAUACAGUGAGGUGUUCUCCAAAGUUCAAACGCAUGUAUCCUUCACUAAUUGGCCAUGAUAAAUCAUCCCCGAAUGCCACGUUUAAAUAUCGAUGGAGUUUGCUAUAGUUUUGGAUGGCUUUAUCUAAACUGUAACUAUGCAGUCUGCUUAAGAAGCACAAAUUAAAGAGUAUCCUGAAUGCCACCGCAAAAUAAUUAUCCUGUGGAGGUGAUGCUGAAAGGCAUAAAAUUCAAUACUUCUAUUACAUUGUUGCCAUGCCAUUUUUUUGCUGAUACAUAACACGUCUUUCAAAUAUAUAUGCUUGGGAACUGAUUUAUUUUCUUCCCUCUUGAUUCAUCAACUACCUCAACCAGCUACUGUCUAUUACAGGUUGCAGAUGAGAUUUAUUCAGAGCUGAAGUCCAUGGCACAUAUUGGUCCAGGGGUUUGUAUAAUAUGGACUUCUCUAUUCCCUUUCCACUUCUGCGAAUUAAGAAGCAUUGCUCCCAAUUCCAUUUAGCACGGAACUGAUACAAAGAGUGCCGGCCCGCCAAAUGUCAUGGUUCCAGAAAGCUUAUUACAAACAUCCACAUGUUAUAGACCUCUAACCAGCACUGUCGCCUUACUGUCUUUGCAACUACGACAGUGGAACACAACAACAUCGCAGUGAUCGGAUCUGCCGUGCCAUGUCCAUCCAACGCCGCUCUUCUUCGUGCUUCUCCCAAGCGCCCUGCUCUCCACCAACCUCCCACCCAGGCCUCUCCAUGUCAUCGCCAGCCACCCUCCCUGAGCAGCGUCGACCUGCUGGUCGCGGUGCUGCUCUGCAUCCUUGAUGCUGGCGCAUCUGGAUCUUCCGGGGUGCCCCCGCUCUGCAUCUACUCCUCCUCCGUCCGUACCACCCUUCCUGCUGAUCAAAAGUCUCGUCUGGCUACUGCAGCACUCCACUUCCUCCUCCCCGAUGUCUGGUUGUUGUUGUGCGAUCAAAAGUCUCGUCUGGCUACUACAACAUCUUGAUGUCUGCUGGCUUUGCUUUGCUGGCAGGAAUCACCUAGAUCUGGCGGCUGCUCUGCGUUCGUCAUGUGGGGGGGUGUGGCCGGGGAUUGGGAGAAAACCAUGAUUGGAUAGAUGCUGCUGGCCAAGACAACGAUGAUGCUUCACACCAUUUCCAUCUAAAUGGCGUUGUUUGAUCAUCGGCCUGACGGUGGCUAUAGGUGAACUCUGGGGGAAAUCCAUGAUCGUAUCUUCUAUUUGAUCGACCACGGUGUCGCUCCCCUGCGCCGUAAACCUCCCUGGAGGCGUGGUAUGGAGUGCACCUAUCUUGUCUUGCCUCCGCUUCUUCGACGAUGACCGCUCCACCAACCCCCCCCCCCCCCCCCCCCCCCCCCUUCGUUGCCUUCACUUUUCGCCGCUUCUCGUGAUGCUUGCUCAAGACCCUCUCAGGGCUGCCAAUAUGUUGCGGCGAGCUUCGUGCUCUCGGUUCAUCUUAGCUCAAUGAUUGAGCAAGAUGCCUCACAAAGUUGGUUGUCGUUAUGAUUUUCGAUGGUGGAGAUCCCUGUGAAGGUUCGUGUUUGUUAUGACAUUCGUUGAUUUUGAGUAGAGAUAUUCAGGUGAGGAAACUCCCCCCAUUGAUUCUCAAAUAAAUAUUAUCUUUGUUGUUUGAUGAGAAGAAUAUUAGGCGGGGAGUGUAUGAUGCUUUCAACGUUCUCAUUGCACUUCCUGUUACGGCAAAAUAGAAAAAGGAGAUACGGCGGAUGGGCCUUUCAAGUUACAAUUAUGAUUAUGAGUUGAUUUCUACCAUCUUGUUCUUUGAAGGAAUUUCGGAGAGGACUCGUCAACAAGAUUAGGAGCAAGAAGGCACUCCUCUAGGAAAUCGAAAACA